UUGGCGUGUUCAGACGUGGUUGGGCCUCUGUUUCGGCCAGUUUCGAGGCGAGAAGUGCAGCGUCUGUGUUUGUUACACGUGUAAUCAUAGCAUUCCUCUGGUUGCGGUGGCUUCGCGGUGCAAUGGCAAAUUCCAAACCUAAAAAGAGGGGUCUGUGGCUGAAGGCGACAUGGCAAAGGGAGGAGAGGAGGAACGUCCUGCGCAAGUGGCAUGCCCCCUACCACCGAAUGGUACGAACGGUCUGGAGUUGAUACGGCACGGGAUCUGCUGUCCAUUCGGCAGGACCAGCUGGCUGUCCAGCGAGAACUGCUGGCCACACAGCAGGGUCUGCUGGCCACCCAGCAGCAGCAGCUGGCAGUUCAGCAGGAAAUGCUGCUCGUGCAGAGAGAGGCAGUCGAUGCACUCCGUCGACUUGCAAGCGCUGUAGAGGGACAAGCAGCAGCAAGUGCGCACCAGUCGUCCGCACUGACUUCGCUAGUGCUUCAGCUCGUCGGUGUGCAGAAUCUCCAUCCGCCAGCCGAAUAAAAACUUGGCUUGAUUCGAGCGGCAGCGUGUUCGCUGAACGGCAUCUGCUGUCUCUGCAGUCUAGAUCAGGAAUGAGGUAAGACUGCAACGGAAGCGGCUACGUAGAUGUCUGCAAGGUGAGUGAUGCAUGCAGCCAUUUCUUUGUUUGAUAUUGCGUUUCAAGAGAAGAUGAAGCUGCGGCAUUGUCUAAAGGUCCUGGUUUCUGCUUCCGCCUG
rnacentral:misc_RNA from 1 species